GCAGCCGGCGGCGGAGCGGGAGGCAGGCGGCUGAGACGGGCGCGCCAUUUGCAUUCGCCCGCAGUCAUUUUUAUCCGCGGAGGAUUUCAAAGCCCCAAACAGAUCCACCCACUGAGGCGGCUGAGAAAAGGAGUUCGGCAGGUGCAGCGCUGUCAGGAGAUGAGACAAGCUAGACACACACCUGCUCUGAGACAGGUAGUUGACGGGGCACAGUGAGCGUUUAAGCUGCUGGGUUUGGUUUUCUCAGGGCUCUGAAGCUUGCUGUCCACUGGGGCCGCCAUUGGACACGUGUGGCUAUUGAGCCGCUGAAAUUUGUCUGGUCCAAACGGAGAUGUGCUCUAAAUGUGAGAUGCAGCCUGGAUUGUGAAGAUUCUGAAAAAAACCGUGUAAACUGGCUUACUAAUCAUUCUAAAAUAUUGAUGGGCUAUUGAAAUCAUAUUUUGGAUAUUUUAGGUGAAAUAAGAUUUUAAUUUUACAUAAUUAAAAUCUAUGAAGUCUGUUUCUUUUUACCUUUUACAAAAUAUGGCCACAAAGAACAUUUAAAAUGACGUAUGUUUCCAUUGGACAGUGCUGGUCUAGAGGCUUAAGACCCAAGCAGCUUUCUUCUAACCCUUUUCACCUUACUCUGCAGGUGCUUUGGAACUGGGCGGGGAGAGAGAAAAGGUUCUUGGAUCUUAAACAUCAAGUGCCUAGGCAGAUAAUUAGGAAGUAAUUGGGAUUAUAGUGAAAACCUUGACAACACCGAGUAGAAGCAAGCAGUGGCUUAGAUUGCACCAACUGGCGGUUCCUUUCCCUUUGUUCACUGUAAUGAAAGACCCCACACUCCCGCCACAACCAUGCAGCAAUUCCAUGGACUAACGGUCUGUGUGUGAAGUUGGGCCUCGAGGAGUGUUUUGGGCCUUUUAGGAGUUAUUUGUUGCACGCUAAACUUGCUGACAUGCCAUUUAGAAGAGUGAGUACUGUGUAUGCACUGUAACAAGUAUUUCAUAAGUAUUUUUGGUGUACAUUGUUCCUCAGCGUGCACAGGGCCCCCGAAGUGUGCAUUGACACGGAUGCGCUGCCAAUGAUCCGGGCCUGGGGGAGUCCCCGAGUGUGCAUUGACUCCACACACGGCCAUGGCUCCUACAGGGCUUUUAUGGCGCAGCUUGCCAAUGAUCCAUGCAUUAAAGUCUCCCGGAACACACAUUGACGCGAUAGACUGGAGUUGUUUGGGUCUACCGUGCCGAUGAUCCGGGGAUAAUUGCGGUGUCUUAUGCGCUUUCAUUGAGAUUGGAAUGCUCAUGGUCGUAAUGGCAGAACCAGAACUGCCCCAGUUAAACCCCAGUGUGACUUCCUCUGUGGAGCCAGUGGCUCUUUGACCUCCUGCACGAUGACACUGUGGCGCUGAUAAUGUUCGCUGAUGUUUUAACUGACCGAAUUGAGUUAGCAGUUUUUUCUUUCCCAAAAGUGCUUUUUGUAAUUCAGUACCUGGAUCCAGGGUUCAUGUACUGAUGGUUUCAUCUGGUUAACCAUAAGCAAAAGACCUUGGAAAGGUCAUAUUGAAAGUAGAAAAAGUGGUUUAGAGAGAAUAAGUUUGGGAGGUGCAUAUGGGUUUGAGUUAAUAUGGAAUAAAUAACCUCAGUCUUAGGAAAACGUAGUUGGCUGAGCUAAAAUAGAAGGUGGGUAAGAAGACGGAAGACACUUUUAGAAAUCAUAAAAAGUAAUAUAUUCAAUAGUAAAGUAAUUCAAACACUAUAGAAGUGUACGAAUUUCUACUAUACCAUCCACUGUCACAGUUAAAAAAAUUUUUUUGCAUAUUCUUUUAGUGAUUUUUAUACAGAUACAAAUAUGUGUAGCUAUUUUUUGUUUACACAAAUGGGAUAAUACCCAACAUGGCUCUCCAGUGCCUUGUCUCUAUCGAACAUCUCUCCUUCUCAGCACAUUCAGAUCUGUUCCAUCCUUUCUGUAAUGGUUGCAUGGAAUUCCAGGAUAUGGAUGUAGCCAUUAAAAAAUUGUGUUAUUUCAACCAUCACUGCAAUAAAUGUCCUUGUACAUUUUUGCAGAUUUGUGCAGACAUAUCCACAGGAUACAUUUUAGCUGUGGAAAUGCUGGGACUCAGAGAUGAUACUUAUCACCAAGCUGAUAACCAAAGUGAUGGUGCUGCCUACAUCUUGCAGUAGGUGUGUUUAUUUCCCCACUCCAGGCCAACGAAGAGUUUUAUCACAGGGGAGGCUUCCAGUGUGUGUGAAUGAAUUUUCCCACUAUGUUCUCUGUACAGCUUUAUGGCGAGAGCCCAGCACGGGGAGCUGUGAUAAAUGCAGUGAAGUGAGGAAGUCAGACUACAAAAUAGGGAGUCUCAUUAAUCAAGAUAAAAAACGAUGGCAUCACAAAAUACACUAAGAUUGGUUGAAUUUUGGUAAUAGCUUAUCAACACGGGAGAAUUGGAAUUAGAUCACAUUAAUUCAUCAUUCAGCAAAUAUUUGUUGAGAAGUCGUAAGUGAAUUCUCCACUGGAUUGUAAGCCCCUUGAGAACAAAACCUUUGUCUUUUUAAUCUCUGUAGCUUGCAUAGAAUUAUGGAAUGAGGCCUGGCCUAAAGUUUUUUUUUUCUUUUCUUUUAAUUGUUGUUGUUAUUGAUUUGCUUGUUUUAAUUUGGCCAUUUAUUGUCUACCAUAUAUCUGAGUCUUUCUGAAGCUGGAUUUUCAAGAUGGCUAACAUUUAAUCCUUGUUCCCAGCAGCUCGUAGUGGGAGAGACAAUGCAGUGUAAACCAGUCUGAAAAUUCACAUAGUCUGUGCAAAGUGAACAACUACCUCUGGUGGAGUACUUUUCCCAGAGUCUGAUGUUUGAGCUGGGUCCUGUAAGAUGAUUAGGAAAACUUUUCCAGACCUGCAAGGAAGGACUUUUAGAGGAAGUUACAAUAAAGGGAUGGAGCUUUUUGGCAAUGGUGGUGAGAAUGAAUGGGGGAAAGGGGACCAGAAGUGGAGGCACCACCUUCUGAGAAAGGAGGCACUGAGUCAGGCGUCCAGGAGCACCAAGGGAGUGACACACAGGGAAAGAGUGGGGUUCUCACUCAGGCUCUGUCCCUGAAUUGUAGUGGCUCAUUUGGAAGCUGUGGUACUCCUGUAGCUCUAAAGCGUCUCAUUUGUAAAAUGGGAUGUAUAGGCUAGAUAAUUUGUACUUUGUUUUUUUCUUUUUUAGGGCCACACCUGUGGCAUACAGAAUUUCCCAGGUUAGGGGUCAGAUCCGGGCUACAGCUGCCAGCCUGCGCCACAGCCACAGCAACACGGGAUCCUAGCCGCGUUUGCGACCUAUACCACAGCUCAUGGCAACUCCGGAUCCUUAACCCAUGGAGCGAGGCCAGGGAUUGAACCCAUGCAGUCGGGUGAGCCACGAAGGGAACUCUCGAUAAUUUGUAAUAUUUUUUCAGUUUCAGAAUUCUAUGGCCUUUGAGCUGUGGGACUUGAAAUUGCCUGUAAGGAUUUCAUCUUCUGUUCUGUGUGCCAAGAAGCACUAUGUGGUAUCUUGGGGUGUUCCUUUAUGAUGGUAGUAAAUGACUGGUUAUAAUUUAGUGGAACUAACUACCAUGGACACUUACCAUGAUCUCGAAGUCUGCAUAUACGUUGUAUCCUACCUUCCCCCUCACUGCAAAAAAAAAAAAAAAAAAAAAAAAAAAAA
rnacentral:lncRNA from 1 species